rnacentral:rRNA from 1 species
UACGAAGGGGGCUAGCGUUGUUCGGAUUUACUGGGCGUAAAGCGCACGUAGGCGGUUUGUUAAGUCAGGGGUGAAGUCCCACAGCUCAACUGUGGAACUGCCUUUGAUACUGGCAAGCUAGAGUCCGGAAGAGGUAAGUGGAACUCCUAGUGUAGAGGUGGAAUUCGUAGAUAUUAGGAAGAACACCAGUGGCGAAGGCGGCUUACUGGUCCGGAACUGACGCUGAGGUGCGAAAGCGUGGGGAGCAAACAGG